rnacentral:rRNA from 1 species
CAGUCGCCGCGGGAAUACGUAGGGGGCGAGCGUUGUCCGAAGUUACUGGGCGUAAAGCGCGCGUAGGCGGCUUCUUAAGUCUGAGGUGAAAGGUUCAACGCUUAACGUGAACAGUGCCUUGGACACUGGGGAGCUUGAGUAUGGGAGAGGGCAGUGGAAUGGCUGGUGUAGCGGUGAAAUGCGUAGAUAUCAGUCGGAACACCCAUGGCGAAGGCAGCUGCCUGGCCUAAUACUGACGCUGAGGUGCGAAAGCGUGGGGAGCGAACGGGAUUAGAUACCCGUGUAGUCCCUGUCUCUUAUA